UUUUAGUAUUUUGUUAGUUGAAAUGGAAAAGAGGAAAUACACAUACAGCACCUCUGGGCAUACAGUUGUCUCUAGCAGAACGAUAUGUGCAUCUAUUUGAAUUGUGCUAUUAGCUAUUUUUUUGUGGAACACUUUUUAUUUGAUAGAACCACUGACAAACUGUGGUUAUUCAGAUGUGGGUAUUUGGCAGCCAUCUUCUCAAACAUGAGGAAAGUGAGGGCCAGGUGCAGUGGCUCAUGCAUGUAAUCCCAGCACUUUGAGAAGAUGAGGUGGGUAGAUCACUUGAGUCUAGGAGUUCGAGACCAGCCUAGCCAAUAUGUCGAAACCCCAGCUCUACUAAAAAUACAAAAAUUAGCUGGGUGUGGUGGCACAUGCUUGUAAUUCCAGCUACACAGAAGGCUAAGGCACAAGAAUCACUUGAACCCAGGAGGCGAAGGUUGCAGUGAGCUGAGAUCACGCCACUGCACUCCAGUUCUCCUGCCUCAGCCUUCCAAGUAGCUGUGACUAUAGUUGCAUGCCGCCACACUCAGCUAAUUUUUUGUAUUUUUAGUAGAGAUGGAGUUUCACCAUGUUGCUCACGCUGGUCUCAAACUCGCGAGUUCAGGC
rnacentral:lncRNA from 1 species